UACGUAGGGUGCAAGCGUUAAUCGGAAUUACUGGGCGUAAAGCGUGCGCAGGCGGUUAUGUAAGACAGAUGUGAAAUCCCCGGGCUCAACCUGGGAACUGCAUUUGUGACUGCACGGCUAGAGUGCGGCAGAGGGAGAUGGAAUUCCGCGUGUAGCAGUGAAAUGCGUAGAUAUGCGGAGGAACACCGAUGGCGAAGGCAAUCUCCUGGGCCUGCACUGACGCUCAUGCACGAAAGCGUGGGGAGCAAACAGG
rnacentral:rRNA from 1 species